rnacentral:lncRNA from 10 species
CGAGAAGAAGCCUUUAUCUGGAGCCAGCUCCAUAAUUUAUUCUGUGUUGGAUAUUAUGUUUCUUGAGUUGGAAGUUUGAUUUUCAUCGUAAAACAAAGUUGGUACACCAACUAGGACUUAGUUGGCAGUAUGAAGAAGCAAGAAAGAGAUGGCACCUUCUUUCUGUGUAUCCACAUGGUAAACGGCAAAUGAUCACCCUGAGGCCUGUUUCAUAAGGACAAGAAUUCUAUUAAUGAGAUCUUCACAGUCAUGAACUAAUUCCCUCCCAUGGAUCCCACCUCUCCAUACCAAUGCCUUGGAGUUGAGAGUUCCAAUGUAUGAAAUUUGGGGGAAAAAACCAUUCAGUCUAUAGCACAGCAAUAUAUGUUUGCUUUGUUUUAUUGUGAAUCAGGAAACUAAAAAUACAAAGAAUACGCAAUAGAGCCAAAGUCUGUAACAUACUGUUACAAAUAUACAUACUGUUUGUUUUGGUUUGGAGGCAUGUCUGAAGAUCACAUGGAAGGAAGGGUUAGCUCAGUCACGGUAGCUUGAAACCAAUAUUGCCUGCCUAUUUCUUCCUUCAUAGCCUGUGCAUGGGAGGUGAGUAUGUUUGUGGACAUUGUCAUUGAAUAUAGUUUAGGCCUUUAUUGAAUCCAGAGGCUUAAUUCUUUAAUGUAGUUUUCAUUUCCAGAGCCAGCAGAAUCUAAUUUAACCCAGUGAUUCUCAAAUGAGGCAACACUAGGCAAUGUCUGGAGGCAGUUUUUGAUGUCACAAUGGAAUGUGGUGCUACCGACAUCUAGUGGAUAGAGGCCGAGGAUGCCACUGAACAUCCUACAAUUCAGAGUGGUCCCUGCAACAGAUAAUUAUCUGGUCCCUAAUGUCAAUAAUGCCGAAGAUAAUAAGCCCUGUGUUGGAUGUUCAUAAAUAACCAAAUGAACAGUUCUAUUUAUUCUGCUUUAUUUAUGUCCUCCUGGUAACAGGGGAACAGGACACUGCAGGGGUUAAAUUUGCAAAUACACCAGUAAAACUCCGAAGUAUCAGGAUCAGUGUUCUUCUAAACUCUGACUUCAGCUAGAGUGGUAUCUUGAACAUGGGAGGUGCAAUAA